rnacentral:rRNA from 1 species
CUUUCGAAAGAAAGAUUAAUACCCGAUGGCAUAGUUCUUCCGCAUGGUAGAACUAUUAAAGAAUUUCGGUCAUCGAUGGGGAUGCGUUCCAUUAGGUUGUUGGCGGGGUAACGGCCCACCAAGCCUUCGAUGGAUAGGGGUUCUGAGAGGAAGGUCCCCCACAUUGGAACUGAGACACGGUCCAAACUCCUACGGGAGGCAGCAGUGAGGAAUAUUGGUCAAUGGACGAGAGUCUGAACCAGCCAAGUAGCGUGAAGGAUGACUGCCCUAUGGGUUGUAAACUUCUUUUAUACGGGAAUAAAGUGAGGCACGUGUGCCUUUUUGUAUGUACCGUAUGAAUAAGGAUCGGCUAACUCCGUGCCAGCAGCCGCGGUAAUACGGAGGAUCCGAGCGUUAUCCGGAUUUAUUGGGUUUAAAGGGAGCGUAGGCGGACGCUUAAGUCAGUUGUGAAAGUUUGCGGCUCAACCGUAAAAUUGCAGUUGAUACUGGGUGUCUUGAGUACAGUAGAGGCAGGCGGAAUUCGUGGUGUAGCGGUGAAAUGCUUAGAUAUCACGAAGAACUCCGAUUGCGAAGGCAGCCUG